UGACUUACCUGGGAGGGGAGACACCUUGGUCACCUAGGAGAUUCACCCAGGGUGAGGCUCGGCCAUCACACUCGAAUUCCCCAAAUGUGGGAAUCUAGACCGCAUCAUUUGUGGUGAAGGGUGGUAAGGUAGCCUUG
ensembl:snRNA U1 U1 spliceosomal RNA